rnacentral:rRNA from 1 species
UGGGGAAUCUUGCGCAAUGGGCGAAAGCCUGACGCAGCGACGCCGCGUGAGUGAUGAAGGCCUUCGGGUUGUAAAGCUCUGUGGGGAGAGACGAAUAAGUGUUGGCUAAUAUCCAGCAUGAUGACGGUAUCUCCUUAGCAAGCACCGGCUAACUCUGUGCCAGCAGCCGCGGUAAGACAGAGGGUGCAAACGUUGUUCGGAAUUACUGGGCGUAAAGCGUGUGUAGGCGGCCAUGUAAGUCAGGUGUGAAAGCCCCGGGCUCAACCCGGGAAGUGCACUUGAUACUGCGUGGCUUGAGUAUCGGAGAGGUUGGUGGAAUUCUCGGUGUAGAGGUGAAAUUCGUAGAUAUCGAGAGGAACACCGGUGGCGAAGGCGGCCAACUGGACGAAUACUGACGCUGAGACACGAAAGCGUGGGGAGCAAAC